ACAUCUUUAAUCAUCUUCAAGUGCACCAACUUCGAGAGCAGUAUUAUGGCUGUGUCUUGGUGUGGGGAGAGACCUGGAUCUAUAGCAAAUGGAUUUACAUCUGUAUCAGAGAGAUGAGAGACACUGAGUGUCAUAAAUACUAAUUGAUAGAAGAGUAAAAUGGUGCUUUGGAACUGACAUCAAACCAAAAGUCAAAACAUUAUUCUGACUGAAUCAAUGCAUCAUGUCCUGUGGCUGCCUGCAAUGUGAUUGUGUACCCCCGUGCGACCCAUGACAAGUCUGGCUUGUUUUGCAGUGUGGUAACGCACACGUCUGGUAUUGAGACUGAUGAAAUCACAGCCUUGCUUCUUCCCCAGGCUGUGCUCUCUUUUGCUUAACUUCUGCAGCUGUGAGGCUUCAACCUCAGCAGCACCUGCCAUGGUUGCCCUCAGUGCACUCCUGGUUACUACACCAACCUCAUCAGCCUGUUACUUCCUCAAUUA